rnacentral:rRNA from 1 species
GGACAAAGUGACAGGUGGUGCAUGGUUGUCGUCAGCUCGUGUCGUGAGAUGUUGGGUUAAGUCCCGCAACGAGCGCAACCCUUAUUGUUAGUUGCCAUCAUUUAGUUGGGCACUCUAGCGAGACUGCCGGUGACAAACCGGAGGAAGGUGGGGAUGACGUCAAAUCAUCAUGCCCCUUAUGACCUGGGCUACACACGUGCUACAAUGGGAAGUACAACGAGUCGCUAGACCGCGAGGUCAUGCAAAUCUCUUAAAGCUUCUCUCAGUUCGGAUUGCAGGCUGCAACUCGCCUGCAUGAAGCCGGAAUCGCUAGUAAUCGCGGAUCAGCACGCCGCGGUGAAUACGUUCCCGGGCCUUGUACACACCGCCCGUCACACCACGAGAGUUUGUAACACCCGAAGUCGGUGAGGUAACCUUUUUGGAGCCAGCCGCCUAAGGUGGGAUAGAUGAUUGGGGUGAAGUCGUAACAAGGUAGCCGUAUCGGAAGGUGCGGCUGGAUCACCUCCUUU